rnacentral:tRNA from 1 species
GCGCGUGUGGUGGAAUGGCAGACACGCUAGACUUAGGAUCUAGUGCUUCGGCGUGGGGGUUCAAGUCCCUCCACGCGCA